rnacentral:rRNA from 1 species
UACAGAGGUCCCGAGCGUUGUUCGGAUUUAUUGGGCGUAAAGGGUGCGUAGGCGGCGGAGUAAGUUGGGUGUGAAAUCCCGGGGCUUAACCUCGGAAUUGCAUUCAAUACUGCUUCGCUCGAGUACUGGAGAGGAGGCUGGAAUUUACGGUGUAGCAGUGAAAUGCGUAGAUAUCGUAAGGAAGGCCGGUGGCGAAAGCGAGCCUCUGGACAGUUACUGACGCUGAUGCACGAAAGCGUGGGGAGCAAACGGG